rnacentral:rRNA from 1 species
GAUACCUACGGGAGGCAGCAGUGAGGAAUAUUGGUCAAUGGGCGCAAGCCUGAACCAGCCAAGUCGCGUGAGGGAAGACGGCCCUACGGGUUGUAAACCUCUUUUGCCGGGGAGCAAGCCUGAGCACGUGUGCCCAGGCGGAGAGUACCCGGAGAAAAAGCAUCGGCUAACUCCGUGCCAGCAGCCGCGGUAAUACGGAGGAUGCGAGCGUUAUCCGGAUUUAUUGGGUUUAAAGGGUGCGCAGGCGGAGGUGCAAGUCAGCGGUCAAAUUGCGGGGCUCAACCCCGUACUGCCGUUGAAACUGC